AUGCUUGCUUCGGCAGCACAUAUACUACAAUUGGAACGAUACAGAGAAGAUUAGCAUGGCCCCUGCACAAGGAUGACACGCAAAUUCGUGAAGCGUUCCUUUUUUUU